rnacentral:misc_RNA from 1 species
GCUCAAGCAGAAGAGGCCCUUUAUUCUGACAGUUUCAGUGAAAUUGACAUAAAUACACUAAAAACUGUCUUAAGCCGAGAAACCCUCAACGCACGGGAAAUAUCAAUUUUCAAUGCUGCAUGUAAGUGGGCAGAGGCUGAGUGCAAUCGUUCAAACUUGGAACCCACUCCUGAAAAUAAACGUAAAGUGUUAGGGGAUGCUCUUUAUCUCAUCAGAAUGCCUUCAAUGGGCCUCGAUGAGUACGCCAAUGGACCGUCUCAGUCAGGUAUAUUGACACUUCAAGAGGCAAAUGACAUCUUUCUUCAUUAUUUAGCAAGGAAUAAGCCAGAAUUAAAGUUCACUAAGAAACCUAGAUCUGGAUUGACUCCAUUCAAAUGUCAUCGCUUCCAGUCCUCAGCUUACAGAAGUAACCAAUGGAGAUACAGAGGGCGCUGUGAUAGCAUUCAAUUUGCAGUUGACACUAGGAUUUUUGUGGCAGGCUUUGGGUUGUAUGGUUCCAGUAAUGGUGCUGCAGAAUAUCAGGUCAAAAUUGAACUGAAGAAAAAUGGAGUUAUUCUCGGUCACACGAACAAAAAAUUCUUCUCCGACGGAUCAAGUAAUACGUUUGGAGUGUUGUUUGAAAAUCCAAUCCAGAUUGAAGCGGACACAUUUUACACUGCCAGUGCUGUGCUGGAUGGAGUGGAACUGAGCUACUUUGGUCAGGAAGGGCUUACUGAAAUCCAGUGCGGAAAGGUCACCUUUCAGUUCCAGUGUUCGUCUGACAGCACUAAUGGUACAGGUGUACAAGGGGGCCAGAUUCCAGAAAUUAUAUUUUACUGCUAAUUGUAUCACUGCUUUCAUGUAAAUGACAUGUACAUGUCAUUGUCUUUUCAGUACAUUUUCCAUCAUAAUAAGACUGAUAAUUUUCAAAUAAAUUAAGAGAAAUUGUGCAUUUAUUGAUAGAACAAAAUGAAUUUUUGUUGUUGAUUGAAUUAAAAGUUUAAACAUUUAGUGUGAUGUCCGUCAGUUAAGUUGUAAAAUGUGUAAUGCCCAUAUUGUAACUCAUAAAGUUGAGGUGCCAUCAUCUCUGUAACAGUUGUCAUCAUGUGUUCUGGUAUCUUGCAACAUUAAAGAAUUAAUAUUCAUGCUUAA